CUAAGACAAUGAAGUAGCAUAGAGAGGAGAAGCUGGAGAAACUAUGGUGACUACAGGUCAGGCCACUUAGGUCACCUGCUUGAAAGCAAAGUGCGGAGUUGAGUUCAGCUGCAGAAGCAACGAGCAGGACCAGGUCAGGAUGAAGGGACUGGAGGACAGAUGGAUGGCAGUUCCUGGUGUGUGAGCAAGAAGACAGACAGAUGAGUGAGCUACAUGGAAGGAGACAUAGGACAUCAAGUUAUGAGAGCAGAAGGCCACAGAUCUUCUAACCCAGUAUCCUGUUGCCAUUGAUUGUAGACAGAGGAUUCUCUCCCAGUCUGGUCCCACAGCUGUUUGGACAAAAAUAAAUACACGAAGGCUUCUAUUAAUUAUUAAAAGUGUUUGACCAAUG